rnacentral:ncRNA from 1 species
UUGAAACCGAUGAGCAAGAAGAGUAGGCAUAACAAAUCACUUUCAGAGAGUCGCUGGCUGGUGUGAAGCGACAGUGUUGUUAUUCCGAAUGGACUUGUGAGGGCGGAAAGAAAUCGCUAUGGCGAGAGUAAUGUCCGACGGGAACCCUGUCCGUUAUCAGUGGGGUGUGUAUGUUUGUACGCAAAAGGAGUGAUCUGUAUUUUUUGAAUACAGGUAAUUUGGGUGGUAUCGCAGAAGCUAUAAGCUUUUGUCCCUUGU